CGGUCCUCUCGUACUAAGGCCAUCACUCAACGGAUAAAAGCUACCCUGGGGAUAACAGGCUUAUCUCCCCCA
rnacentral:rRNA from 1 species